rnacentral:rRNA from 1 species
AAUAGAUACCCAGGUAGUCCACGCCGUAAACGAUGAGUGCUAAGUGUUGGGGGGUUUCCGCCCCUCAGUGCUGCAGCUAACGCAUUAAGCACUCCGCCUGGGGAGUACGGUCGCAAGACUGAAACUCAAAGGAAUUGACGGGGGCCCGCACAAGCGGUGGAGCAUGUGGUUUAAUUCGAAGCAACGCGAAGAGCCUUACCAGGUCUUGACAUCCCGGUGACCACUAUGGAGACAUAGUUUCCCCUUCGGGGGCAACGGUGACAGGUGGUGCAUGGUUGUCGUCAGCUCGUGUCGUGAGAUGUUGGGUUAAGUCCCGCAACGAGCGCAACCCUUAUUCUUAGUUGCCAUCAUUCAGUUGGGCACUCUAAGGAGACUGCCGGUGAUAAACCGGAGGAAGGUGGGGAUGACGUCAAAUCAUCAUGCCCCUUAUGACCUGGGCUACACACGUGCUACAAUGGACGGUACAAACGGUUGCCAACCCGGCAGGGGGGAGCUAAAUUCGAUAAAAACCGUUCUCAGUUCGGAUUGUAGGCUGCAACUCGCCUAC